CGGAGUGUAGCGCAGCUUGGUAGCGUACGUCCUUUGGGAGGAUGUGGUCGCAGGUUCGAAUCCUGUCACUCCGA
rnacentral:tRNA from 1 species